UUGAAACAGCAGUGAAAAAAGUCAUCGCUGAAGGAAAGUGCCGGACGAAAGAUCUUGGUGGAACAAGCACGACUCAAGAGGUAGUUGAUGCGGUCAUUGCAAAACUAGACUGACUUUGACAAAUUACGUGUUCCUUGUCUGCAUAAAUCAUCAAAUUCCUGCUACAGAUUUUGUGUGUUUGCCAAAAUAUGGGGUAUGAUCCAAUUCAAUGCACACCGUUUAUCUGGUUUUGUACCUCGAGUUUUAAUAUUCUUUUAGUCGUCGAAUAUUUCGAUAAGAAAAAAGAACAUGUUCUAAAUAAAUUUAUGUUGCUACCUUUGUUGGCGGCUUUCCUCAUUUCAAAUCUAAACCGCUGUACGCGGGAUAUGCAAACGUUUUUUUCUAAAAUGGUUUUGUAAUUCCAGAAGAUGAAUGAAAAAUCAAAGUGCUCACCUUUGCGAAAAUUGUUUGCGUGUGC
rnacentral:lncRNA from 1 species